AUGAACGCUAGCGACAGGCCUAACACAUGCAAGUCGAGGGGCAGCGGGGAGGUAGCAAUACCUUUGCCGGCGACCGGCGCACGGGUGAGUAACACGUAUGCAAUCCACCUGUAACAGGGGGAUAACCCGGAGAAAUCCGGACUAAUACCCCAUAAUAUGGGCGCUCCGCAUGGAGGGUCCAUUAAAGAGAGCAAUCUUGGUUACAGACGAGCAUGCGCUCCAUUAGCCAGUUGGCGGGGUAACGGCCCACCAAGGCGACGAUGGAUAGGGGUUCUGAGAGGAAGGUCCCCCACAUUGGAACUGAGACACGGUCCAAACUCCUACGGGAGGCAGCAGUGAGGAAUAUUGGUCAAUGGUCGGCAGACUGAACCAGCCAAGUCGCGUGAGGGAAGACGGCCCUACGGGUUGUAAACCUCUUUUGUCGGAGAGUAAAGUGCGCUACGUGUAGCGUAUUGCAAGUAUCCGAAGAAAAAGCAUCGGCUAACUCCGUGCCAGCAGCCGCGGUAAUACGGAGGAUGCGAGCGUUAUCCGGAUUUAUUGGGUUUAAAGGGUGCGUAGGCGGCACGCCAAGUCAGCGGUGAAAUUUCCGGGCUCAACCCGGACUGUGCCGUUGAAACUGGCGAGCUAGAGUGCACAAGAGGCAGGCGGAAUGCGUGGUGUAGCGGUGAAAUGCAUAGAUAUCACGCAGAACCCCGAUUGCGAAGGCAGCCUGCUAGGGUGCGACAGACGCUGAGGCACGAAAGCGUGGGUAUCGAACAGGAUUAGAUACCCUGGUAGUCCACGCAGUAAACGAUGAAUACUAACUGUUUGCGAUACAAUGUAAGCGGUACAGCGAAAGCGUUAAGUAUUCCACCUGGGGAGUACGCCGGCAACGGUGAAACUCAAAGGAAUUGACGGGGGCCCGCACAAGCGGUGGAGCAUGUGGUUUAAUUCGAUGCAACGCGAAGAACCUUACCAAAUCUUGACAUCCUUUGACAACUCUAGAGAUAGAGCUUUCCCCUUCGGGGGACAAAGUGACAGGUGGUGCAUGGUUGUCGUCAGCUCGUGCCGUGAGGUGUCGGCUUAAGUGCCAUAACGAGCGCAACCCCUAUGGACAGUUACUAACGGGUGAAGCCGAGGACUCUGUCUAGACUGCCGGCGCAAGCCGCGAGGAAGGUGGGGAUGACGUCAAAUCAGCACGGCCCUUACGUCCGGGGCGACACACGUGUUACAAUGGCAGGUACAGAAGGCAGCCAGUCAGCAAUGACGCGCGAAUCCCGAAAACCUGUCUCAGUUCGGAUUGGAGUCUGCAACCCGACUCCAUGAAGCUGGAUUCGCUAGUAAUCGCGCAUCAGCCAUGGCGCGGUGAAUACGUUCCCGGGCCUUGUACACACCGCCCGUCAAGCCAUGGAAGCCGGGAGUACCUGAAGCAUGCAACCGCAAGGAGCGUACGAAGGUAAUACCGGUAACUGGGGCU
rnacentral:rRNA from 1 species